rnacentral:misc_RNA from 1 species
UCAGACAGACUCUUCUCAUGGAUCC